GCUGGGCAUGGUGGCGCAUGCCUGUAAUCCCAGCUACUUGGGAGGCUGAGGCAGGAGAAUUGCUUGUACCCAGGAGACGGAGGUUGCAGUGAGCUGAGAGCGUACCAUUGCACUCCAGCCUGAGUGACAGGGUGAGACUCCGUCUCAA
rnacentral:SRP_RNA from 1 species